CAGGCUUAACACAUGCAAGUCGAGGGGCAGCAUGGUCUUAGCUUGCUAAGGCCGAUGGCGACCGGCGCACGGGUGAGUAACACGUAUCCAACCUGCCGUCUACUCUUGGACAGCCUUCUGAAAGGAAGAUUAAUACAAGAUGGCAUCAUGAGUCCGCAUGUUCACAUGAUUAAAGGUAUUCCGGUAGACGAUGGGGAUGCGUUCCAUUAGAUAGUAGGCGGGGUAACGGCCCACCUAGUCUUCGAUGGAUAGGGGUUCUGAGAGGAAGGUCCCCCACAUUGGAACUGAGACACGGUCCAAACUCCUACGGGAGGCAGCAGUGAGGAAUAUUGGUCAAUGGGCGAGAGCCUGAACCAGCCAAGUAGCGUGAAGGAUGACUGCCCUAUGGGUUGUAAACUUCUUUUAUAAAGGAAUAAAGUCGGGUAUGGAUACCCGUUUGCAUGUACUUUAUGAAUAAGGAUCGGCUAACUCCGUGCCAGCAGCCGCGGUAAUACGGAGGAUCCGAGCGUUAUCCGGAUUUAUUGGGUUUAAAGGGAGCGUAGAUGGAUGUUUAAGUCAGUUGUGAAAGUUUGCGGCUCAACCGUAAAAUUGCAGUUGAUACUGGAUAUCUUGAGUGCAGUUGAGGCAGGCGGAAUUCGUGGUGUAGCGGUGAAAUGCUUAGAUAUCACGAAGAACUCCGAUUGCGAAGGCAGCCUGCUAAGCUGCAACUGACAUUGAGGCUCGAAAGUGUGGGUAUCAAACAGGAUUAGAUACCCUGGUAGCCCACACGGUAAACGAUGAAUACUCGCUGUUUGCGAUAUACAGCAAGCGGCCAAGCGAAAGCGUUAAGUAUUCCACCUGGGGAGUACGCCGGCAACGGUGAAACUCAAAGGAAUUGACGGGGGCCCGCACAAGCGGAGGAACAUGUGGUUUAAUUCGAUGAUACGCGAGGAACCUUACCCGGGCUUAAAUUGCAGAUGAAUUACGGUGAAAGCCGUAAGCCGCAAGGCAUCUGUGAAGGUGCUGCAUGGUUGUCGUCAGCUCGUGCCGUGAGGUGUCGGCUUAAGUGCCAUAACGAGCGCAACCCUUGUUGUCAGUUACUAACAGGUUCCGCUGAGGACUCUGACAAGACUGCCAUCGUAAGAUGUGAGGAAGGUGGGGAUGACGUCAAAUCAGCACGGCCCUUACGUCCGGGGCUACACACGUGUUACAAUGGGGGGUACAGAGGGCCGCUACCACGCGAGUGGAUGCCAAUCCCCAAAACCUCUCUCAGUUCGGACUGGAGUCUGCAACCCGACUCCACGAAGCUGGAUUCGCUAGUAAUCGCGCAUCAGCCACGGCGCGGUGAAUACGUUCCCGGGCCUUGUACACACCGCCCGUCAAGCCAUGGGAGCCGGGGGUACCUGAAGUGCGUAACCGCGAGGAGCGCCCUAGGGUAAAACUGGUGACUGGG
rnacentral:rRNA from 1 species